GUGAGGAAUAUUGGUCAAUGGACGAGAGUCUGAACCAGCCAAGUCGCGUGAAGGAAGACGGUUCUAUGAAUUGUAAACUUCUUUUGUGCAGGAAUAAAGUGGGUUACGUGUAACCUUUUGUAUGUACUGUACGAAUAAGGAUCGGCUAACUCCGUGCCAGCAGCCGCGGUAAUACGGAGGAUCCGAGCGUUAUCCGGAUUUAUUGGGUUUAAAGGGUGCGUAGGUGGAUUGAUAAGUCAGCGGUGAAAGUUUGCAGCUUAACUGUAAAAUUGCCGUUGAAACUGGCGGUCUUGAGUGCAAAUGAGGUAGGCGGAAUGUGUUGUGUAGCGGUGAAAUGCUUAGAUAUAACACAGAACUCCGAUUGCGAAGGCAGCUUACUGGGAUGCAACUGACACUGAUGCACGAAAGCGUGGGUAUCAAACAGGAUUAGAAACCCCAGUAGUCC
rnacentral:rRNA from 1 species